rnacentral:lncRNA from 10 species
CCCGUUUCUUCCUCCUUUCCUCAUUUUACUUCUUAAGUGCCACGUCGAGCUCUCAGCCUCGGCUUGGGUUAAUAAAUUAACAAGACUUUAGUAGUAGACUCUGGGCUUGAUUAAGUGUUUUUUUUUUUUUUUUUUUUUUUUUGGCGUUAAUGCAAUGGAGGAAAGAAUUGUUCCAAGAAACAUAAAUCUGGACUCCCCUGAGCUGGGGCUGUUGGCAUCCAGCGCCCCAUUACCGUCUGCAAACAUGUCAGCUUAACCUCUGGCCGCCAGUUCCCGGGGGGCGCCCGGGGAGGGAGGGAGAUUCGCCCUGUGCUGCAAAGCCUGGCCCGCCCCGGCCUCCGAGGGCCAGGAAGCCCCGAGCCUGGGCUGGGAGGCCAAAGCCGGGAGCCAGGAUCCCACCUCAGUCCCGCCCAGGGUGGCGCCCCUGUCCCUAGCACGGCUGUGCUCCGCUUCUCUCCGCGCCUGGGGCAUCUCUGCGCGGCCUCGUAGCAGGCAGUCCUGAGCGGGGUGGGGCCCAUAGCUUUGAACCCGGAGUUUCGUGUGUGUGUGUGUGUGUGUGUGUGUGUGUGUGUGUGUGUGUGUGUGUGUGUUUCGAACCCGGAGUUUCAACAAAGAACUUUCCUCUCCUUCUUUCAUGACUGCUGGGGUGUGUGUGUGCGUGUGUGGUGUGUGUGUGUGUGUGUGUGUGUUUCUUGCAGCCGUUUAGCCAACUCCCUUGCUCGGUGUUGCUGUUACUCGCUUUUCUUCCGAGAGAGAGAGAGAGAGAGAGAGAGAGAGAGUUUCUUGCAGCACAGAGAGAGAGAGAGAGAGUGAGAUAGAGAGUUUCUUGCAGCCAGUUAGCCAACUCCCUUGCUCGGUUUUGCUGUUUCUCACUUUUCUUCCGUGUGUGUGUGUGUGUGUGUGUGUUUCUUGCAGCCGUUUAGCCAACUCUCUUGCUCGGUUUUGCUGUUUCUCGCUUUUCUUCCGUGUGUGUGUGUGUGUGUGUGUGUGUGUGUGUGUUUCUUGCAGCCGUUUAGCCAACUCCCUUGCUCGGUUUUGCUGCUUCUCGCUUUUCUUCCAAGAGUCACGUUGGCAACGUGCAGGCAGACACCUAUUUGUUGUAUGUGAGACGACGCAAAUACUGUAUUCGAACCUCAAACUAACAGGAAAGCGACGCUGAGAAUCCCGAGGAUCUCUGGCUGCGUUUUUUAAACCCCUCCUUGCACACUACUUCCUGCAGCUCUUUUUCCUGGUUUUGAUGAUUCUGUGUUUCAAUCUCCCAUUUAUCUUAACAUCCAUUUUUACUUUCCAUUUGAGCGUCAAUUCACUCCUGGGAAUCAGAGAAUGAUAGCAAGGCCAACAGACAUUCAGUGCUCUGCCCACUCGCAUAGAGUGACACAGGCAAAGUCGGCCACAGCUGAGGUCUUUUAACCCGCCCAAAGCUUUCUGUUACCCAGCGCUUUCACGAGGAAUUAUACGCGAUGGGCCCUACCACAGAGCCAAAUAGAAAAUCAAGCAACACUUUGG